CUGUGAGUAAGUAAAAGGAAGUGUGAAUAACUGCCUAAUUGGUGGACGUGAAAACUGGACAGUCUCCAAAGUCAUCAGAGAUGACCAUGCUUGCCGGGCAGCUUCCUAGACUAAGGGUGACGUGCCCAUCAUGCAGGAAGAUUCUCCGAGGCUGGGGAGAGCAAACUUGUCUGCUUUGAGAAGUGCAGAUGUAUCAGGAUCCAGAAUCGGACUCUGAAAAAGCUGUCAUUUCAUGUCUCUAAAACAGCCUUUGAUUUAAUGUACAAGAUGUCAAGAAGUAAAGAACAAUAAAAUAAAAAC